AAUAAAUGAAGCGCUACUGGAGGCAAAUUAAAAUAUCUCCCUCAGCAAAAAUGAGACUCUCGCUCAUGAUGAAAGCAUGUUUAUAGUUUUUUCUUUGAGAUUGCAAACAUCACCGACAUAGUCAUAUUCUAAAGCAUCAUCAACGCCAUCACCAAAUUCAAUGCCAUCAACACCAUCAGCGACUAGUAACAAUGUUAUACCACAGAUUUAUGGCGAAUUACAACGAGGCGAAAAACAUAUACAUAUGUAGAAAUUUUGCAAAGUUUUAAGAAAACUGCAUUUUCUUGAACCACUAUAAAUGAUUUCCAAUUGUUAAUAUAUAUCAAAAGAAAGCUAAAACGAUUACCUUUCUUUUGAUUAUAAAACCAUUUAAAUCGCUUGACAUUUUUAUGCAAAUUUCGCAACUUUUGAAAUCAUUUGUAUGUAAGCAGUGAAAAGGUUCUCAAAUUUUGCAAAGUUGUAAGAAAAUGCAUUUUCUUGAACCACUAUAAAUGAUUUCCAAUUGUUAAUAUAUAUC